AAUGUUUCAAAUUAACAAGCAUUUCAAAAGACUGUUAUGAAUUGAUAGUAAAUUUAAAGAAAGGAACUAAAAAAGUAGAAAAAGUAAAAGCUUUAUGAGCUUGUUUCAGAGAUAUAAGCCCUUGAAAAUUUGUCGGGAAAUUAUUCUACAUAGAUUUUCCAUAUAUUUGAAAUUGAUAUCUGUUUAUCUUUUACAAACUAUGAAAAAAACAGGAAUUUUGUAAAAUUUUCAAGUAAGCCAACUACAUUUAAUUAUUAUAUAAGGAAAAGAAAGGAUUAGCUGACAAAGACUUUUGGACUACGUGGAGAUAACCAGAGGAUUUCGAAAAGCUGAUAAUUAAUUUCGGGGCUUUUAUAGCUGACAAUGCGGUAUUGGCUCUGCUCAUUGUUGAAGGCCGUACGGUGUUCUAUAGUUGUUAAUUUCUGUGUUAUUUUGGUCUCUUGUGGAGAUUUGUCUCAUUGGCAAUCAUACUACAUCUUAUUUUUUUUUUAAUAAUAAUUCAAAAAACAAGAGUAGCGAACAUCCUUAAUCUUUAAAAAGAAAAAAAGUGUUAUAACUCGAAGUUCACAGGUAGGAGAACUUUUCAAUAGAUAUUAUAAACCGGAAUUGGACAUAACCUAACUAUAAAAAAAUUUCAUGAAAAAAUCUGAAACUAAACGUAAUUAUUUUCACAAAAUAAAAGUUAACAUGAAAAGUACAUUAAGAAUGAAUUGCAACUUAAAUGUUUUUACGCCUUAUGUGUUGCAUAGCAAUCUAGCAUCAGGUACUAGUAUACUCGAUCAAAUAGAAGGGGGAAAAUAUGGUACGAUUGCACAUGAAAAAAAUCUUCACAAAUGACACAGAAAUUAACAACUAUAGGUCACCGUACGGCCCUUCAACAAUGAGUAAAGCCAAUACCGCAUGGUCACCUAUAAAAGGCUCCGAAAUGAUAAAUGUAAAACAAAAAAUAAAUAAUAAGUAAAUGUAUGUUAAUAUCUAUACAAAUUUGUUGCUAGACCCGAG
rnacentral:lncRNA from 1 species